CUCUGUGUCACACACACACACUCUGUGUCCCCGUCUCUCUCCCACUGGAGAUUUGUUCCCGUCUCCAGUGAAGGAAUUGUAACGGUGUAAAUGCAGGAAUGUGAGUGAUGAUAUUUUACAGACUAGAGUUACAGAUUUAAAGCUGUUGAUACUCACAGUGCUCUGACCAUUCCUGCUCCCCCCCCCACCCCUGGUUAAUGUGUGUGUGUGUGUGUGUUACCGGGACCCUGUUUCACGUUCCUGUCUCCUUCACAGACGGGCGUCGGGAUUGUCUACAGACGGAAGAUGGACACAAAUAGCUGGAGUAACUCAGCGGGACAGACGGGCAGCAUCUCUGGAGAGAGAAGGAAUGGGUGAUGUUUCGGCUCGAGACCCUUCUUCAGACUGGCCUUUCUGUCCUGGGCCUCCUCCAUGGCCAGAGUGAGGCCCAGUGCAAGCUGGAGGAGCAGCACCUCAUAUUUCACUUGGGCAGCUUACACCCCAGCGACGGGCGUCGGGAUUGUCUACAGACGGAAGAUGGACACAAAUAGCUGGAGUAACUCAGCGGGACAGACGGGCAGCAUCUCUGGAGAGAGAAGGAAUGGGUGACGUUUCGGCUCGAGACCCUUCUUCAGACUGGCCUUUCUGUCCUGGGCCUCCUCCAUGGCCAGAGUGAGGCCCAGUGCAAGCUGGAGGAGCAGCACCUCAUAUUUCACUUGGGCAGCUUACACCCCAGCGGUAUGAACAUUGACCUCUAACCUCAAGCUCGCUACAUCUUUCCCUCUCAAUCCCAGUCUCCUGCAUUCUCCCCGUAACCUUUGACCCCCUUCCUAAUGGGGGACCCACCAAUCCCCGCUCUAAAAAUAUACUCGAUGACGUGGCCUCCACCGUUGUCUGUGGCAAUGAAUUCCACAGAGUACAGGCCCAGUGCCGUCAAACGCUCAUCACAUGUUAACCCAAUCAUCCCAGCGACCGUGCUCCUAAACCUCUGGGCUCUCUCCAGAGCCAGCGGGUCUGUCUUCAGAUAUAAGGCCCAAAACCGCUCCUUAUAUUCCAAGUGUGGCUUCAUUAAGCCUCAGCAUUACAUCCUUGCUUUUAUACACUAGGAUUCAAUGAUUAUACACGCAUGCACACACACAAAUACAUACACACACACUCACACAGGAGACAAUAAACUAAACUAAACUUGGUGUGUGAUGAAAUCAGUCUUGCGUUGUGGAAUUGCCGCUUCUUUGAAAGACGUGUGAAUCCAGCACAACCUAUAGCUUGGAGCAGGGUGGUGUCAAACUCAUUGGACAAGAUGGGACUUCAUGCGGGCCUGAUCAGUUGCACACUCACUCUAAGUGAGUGAGGCUGUAGAUCAGGCGUGAUGGCACAGCGGUAGAGUUGCUGCCUCCCAGCGCCAGAGACCCGGGUUCGAUCCCAACCACGGGUGCUGUCUCUACGGAGUUUACACGUCCUCCCCGUGGGUGUCUCCGAGAUCUUCGGUUUCCUCCCACGCUCCAGAGACGUGCAGGUUUGUAUUUCAAUUGGAUUGGUACAAGUAAAAUUGUAGGGUUGUGUUAAUGUGUAGUGUUAACUAGACCAAGUGGGACCCGUUGGGGGAACUGCGGUUUGGGAGGGGGGGUGGCUGUGGCCUGAAGCCAUGCUCGCGCGCACACACACACACGCGGGUUUUUUUAAUUUCAAAGUUUUGAUCGAUUUUUCAACAUUUUCAUUUAUAACGAGAAAUAAAGCACAAAUUUUUCAGUUAAGGCGAUUUCGGACCCCAGGGGAAAAAUCUCUACCGGAAAAUGUAAAAAAUUUACCAUUAGCGCGUCGUUUUUACGAGAAGACGUGAUUAUACACAAACAAACAAACACACACACGAACAAACACAUCCACGAUCAGAAUUUUAAGUGAUAUGAUGUGUGACGAUCGCUAUUCGCUGGGCACUGCGUUUGUCCCACCAACCAAACACACAAUAUUCCCAAAGGUAUAUCUUUUUCACAGAGCUGUGAGUCUAGAAUUCAUCUGUUUGCUUUGACAUCAACUUCCCCCAACUAACAAUGAAUUCUAUAUGUUCCUUGAUCUUCAUCCCCUUUGUCCUGUUUUCACACCUUGCACUUCCUUGUGAAUGAUUGAUAAUGUUUUAUUCUUAAUUGUUUACUGUCUGUCGUGUUGUUCCUUGCGAGUGGAGCACUGAGACAAAUUCCUUGUAUGUGUACACACUUGGCCAAUAAACUUAUUCACACCC